rnacentral:rRNA from 1 species
UGGUGGAGUGAUUUGUCUGGUUAAUUCCGAUAACGAACGAGACCUUAACCUGCUAAAUAGCCAGGCCGGCUUUCGCUGGUCGCCGGCUUCUUAGAGGGACUGUCAGCAUCUAGCUGACGGAAGUUUGAGGCAAUAACA